GGGCCUAUGGUUCAACGGAAGAAUGUGGCAUUCGCAUUGCCAAGAUCCGAGUUCAAUUCUCGGUAGGUCCA
rnacentral:tRNA from 7 species